rnacentral:rRNA from 1 species
UAAUGCCUAGGAAUCUGCCUGGUAGUGGGGGAUAACGUUCGGAAACGGACGCUAAUACCGCAUACGUCCUACGGGAGAAAGCAGGGGACCUUCGGGCCUUGCGCUAUCAGAUGAGCCUAGGUCGGAUUAGCUAGUUGGUGGGGUAAUGGCUCACCAAGGCGACGAUCCGUAACUGGUCUGAGAGGAUAAUCAGUCACACUGGAACUGAGACACGGUCCAGACUCCUACGGGAGGCAUCAGUGGGGAAUAUUGGACAAUGGGCGAAAGCCUGAUCCAGCCAUGCCGCGUGUGUGAAGAAGGUCUUCGGAUUGUAAAGCACUUUAAGUUGGGAGGAAGGGUUGUAGAUUAAUACUCUGCAAUUUUGACGUUACCGACAGAAUAAUCACCGGCUAACUCUGUGCCAGCAGCCGCGGUAAUACAGA